rnacentral:rRNA from 1 species
AUUGAACGCUGGCGGAAUGCUUUACACAUGCAAGUCGAACGGCAGCACGGACUUCGGUCUGGUGGCGAGUGGCGAACGGGUGAGUAAUGUAUCGGAACGUGCCCAGUCGUGGGGGAUAACGUAGUGAAAAUUACGCUAAUACCGCAUACGAUCUAUGGAUGAAAGCGGGGGAUCGCAAGACCUCGCGCGAUUGGAGCGGCCGAUAUCAGAUUAGGUAGUUGGUGGGGUAAAGGCCCACCAAGCCAACGAUCUGUAGCUGGUCUGAGAGGACGGCCAGCCACACUGGAACUGGGACACGGUCCAGACUCCUACGGGAGGCAGCAGUGGGGAAUUUUGGACAAUGGGCGAAAGCCUGAUCCAGCCAUUCCGCGUGCAGGAUGAAGGCCCUCAGGUUGUAAACUGCUUUUGUACAGAACGAAAAGGUUUCUACUAAUACUAGGAGCUCAUGACGGUACUGUAAGAAUAAGCACCGGCUAACUACGUGCCAGCCGCCGCCGUAA